rnacentral:rRNA from 1 species
CUACGGGAGGCACCAGUCGAGAAUAGUCUACAAUGGACGAAAGUCUGAUAGUGCAACGCCGCGUGGGUGAUGAAGCAUUUCGGUGUGUAAAACCCUUUUCUUUGUGAGCAAUGCCAUUAUGGUUAAUAGCUAUAGUGGAGCGAUAUUAGCAGAGGAAUAAGCCACGGCUAACUCCGUGCCAGCAGCCGCGGUAACACGGGGGUGGCGAGCGUUGUCCGGAAUCACUAGGCGUAAAGGGCAGGUAGGCGGAAUAUCUAGUCAUUUGUUAAAGGCAUUGGCUCAACCAAUGUACGGCAUAUGAUACUGGUAUUCUAGAAUUUGGUAUGGGAAGACGGAAUUCCUGGUGUAGCGGUGGAAUGCGCAGAUAUCAGGAAGAACACCGGAGGCGAAGGCGGUCUUCUGGGCCAAAAUUGACGCUCAACUGCGAAGGUGUGGGUAUCAAACAGGAUUAGAUACCCGAGUAGUC